rnacentral:lncRNA from 1 species
AUGCCUCUGAGUAAUACUUCGUGCAUUUUACCUCAUCCUGCCGCACUCUACUCCAUGGCUCCUUCCUCAGCAGCUGUGGUGCUACAGCCUCGCAAACUAGUGCUGGACCUGCCUGUGGCUGCUCUUCUGGGUUGGGAGGAGAGAAAAGAAAAUCAUGUCAGUCAAGCAUCUUGCCUGGUGAGAAGACAAGGCAGCUACUGCAGUGCAUGGCUCUGCCUCACUUCCUCUUUCUGUACACAGGCAUGUGCCCACCCAAAGACCCUCCACAGAGAUAGGCACUGCCUCCUACUACUGCAUAUCCCAUCCUUAGAGGAUCACCUGUCACAUGUUGGAGGUAGAUGUGAGGUGAAUAAAUGUGGGGUAAAUAGAACACAGGAUCAUUCUAGAGUUCCUAAGCUGGGAGGAAGAGACAGGGAAAUGUUUGUGGAAUGGCUUCCCAUUAACAAUGGUUCCCCACUACCACCACCACCCACUGCUCAUACAAUCAUGCCUCUCCAUUCCAUUUCCCUUUCUUUUGUUGUUACUGAAUUCCAGACCUGGCUUUGAGGCUUAUGGAUAUAGCAAUGAGCCUACUAGGCAGAAGAGUCCCUGCACCCUCUUCACUGGGAGCCUUGAUGGUGUUAACAUAAAACACAGCUCUCGCUUUUAAAGGGAAUGAUUGAUGGUUUAUUAUCGAUCCAGAUAGAAAUGGCAACAGCCCAGGAACAUAAAUCCGGGUUGCCUCAAUGUUUUACAUAUAGAGAAAUUUUCAAAUGCAUUAGUAGAAACCUCCAGAGGCAGAUCACAGCAAGUCAGGGAAAUCUCUGCUGUUUCUGUUGCUGUCUGAUAACAUUGUUAGCUUUGGGGUUGGUGGAAAUCAGUGGUCUUUUACUAUACUAGCCAGUGGUCUAUUACUAUACUAACUAGCAGUCUAUUAGUAUAUUAACCAGUGCUCUAUUACUAUAGUCUGAAAGCUUUUAUGUGAGAGUCCCAAGGAUUCAGCUCACACACAGAGAAGGCCAAUGAAAUGCUACUGGGCAGAGUAAACACAGCUGAAGAUAAUUUGGUUCUGAAUCAGAAACAUUCUAUUCAUGAUGAUUAUGAAGUGCCAUAAAGUAUUGUAGAAUUGUUAACAUGUAUGUGGCUUUUUUUGUGGGAACUUUAGUUUCCAAUAGAGACAUAGAGAAGGUGAAGUAAACUGUGACAGUCAGAUGUACAGGAUAUAUGAUGGCAAUAAGUUCUUAGGAAAACAGGAUAAAACAGGAAAAAAUGGGAAUUGGACUAAGGGCAUCCCUGAAAAAAGUAAAUGAAGGAAGUACCCUGUAGAAAUAUCCAGAAAAGCCAUUCAGGCUCUGGCCAAUUUUAGGGAGGGAAGCAGGAUAAGGAGGGCCGAGCUCCCCUGACUAUUUAAGAAUAAAUGUCUAUGUGAAGCAACUCA